AUGAUUGUACGGGGAGAGAACGCAAAAGCGUCGCCGAAGGAGCAAAUGACAAAAAGUCAUGAAUCUCUCAGGCAAAAAGACUCGUACGGGACG
rnacentral:ncRNA from 2 species